CCCUUAGAUGCUCUGGGCCGCACGCGCGCUACACUGACGAUGGCAACGAGUUUUUCCUUCGCCGAAAGGUGUGGGUAAUCUUUUGAAACAUCGUCGUGCUGGGGAUAGAUCAUUGCAAUUUUUGAUCUUGAACGAGGAAUUCCUAGUAAGCGCGAGUCAUCAGCUCGCGUUGAUUACGUCCCUGCCCUUUGUACACACCGCCCGUCGCUACUACCGAUUGAAUGGUUUAGUGAGGACUCCUGAUUGGCGCCGCCGCCCCGGCAACGGAGCAGCGGACUGCCGAAAAGUUGUUCAAACUUGAUCAUUUAGAGGAAGUAAAAGUCGUAACA
rnacentral:rRNA from 1 species